ensembl:snoRNA SNORD18 Small nucleolar RNA SNORD18
CAUCAGUGAUGAGCUUCCACUUCAUGGUCCGUGUUUUUGAAAUUCUGUGAUAUUUAAAGAAGUUCUGAGUUU